rnacentral:tRNA from 1 species
GGAGAGUUGGCAGAGUGGUCGAAUGCACUAGUCUUGAAAACUAGCGUGCCGCAAGGUACCGAGAGUUCGAAUCUCUCACUCUCCG